rnacentral:rRNA from 1 species
GAUGAACGCUAGCUACAGGUCUUAACACAUGCAAGUCGAGGGGCAGCAUGGUCUUAGCUUGCUAAGGCCGAUGGCGACCGGCGCACGGGUGAGUAACACGUAUCCAACCUGCCGUCUACUCUUGGACAGCCUUCUGAAAGGAAGAUUAAUACAAGAUGGCAUCAUGAGUUCACAUGUUCACAUGAUUAAAGGUAUUCCGGUAGACGAUGGGGAUGCGUUCCAUUAGAUAGUAGGCGGGGUAACGGCCCACCUAGUCUUCGAUGGAUAGGGGUUCUGAGAGGAAGGUCCCCCACAUUGGAACUGAGACACGGUUCAAACUCCUACGGGAGGCAGCAGUGAGGAAUAUUGGUCAAUGGGCGAGAGCCUGAACCAGCCAAGUAGCGUGAAGGAUGACUGCCCUAUGGGUUGUAAACUUCUUUUAUAAAGGAAUAAAGUCGGGUAUGGAUACCCGUUUGCAUGUACUUUAUGAAUAAGGAUCGGCUAACUCCGUGCCAGCAGCCGCGGUAAUACGGAGGAUCCGAGCGUUAUCCGGAUUUAUUGGGUUUAAAGGGAGCGUAGAUGGAUGUUUAAGUCAGUUGUGAAAGUUUGUGGCUCAACCGUAAAAUUGCAGUUGAUACUGGAUAUCUUGAGUGCAGUUGAGGCAGGCGGAAUUCGUGGUGUAGCGGUGAAAUGCUUAGAUAUCACGAAGAACUCCGAUUGCGAAGGCAGCCUGCUAAGCUGCAACUGACAUUGAGGCUCGAAAGUGUGGGUAUCANACAGG